UGGGGAAUUUUGCACAAUGGGGGAAACCCUGAUGCAGCGACGCCGCGUGAUUUAGAAGGCCUUCGGGUUGUAAAAAUCUUUUCUAUGGGAAGAAAAUGACAGUACCAUAGGAAUAAGGACCGGCUAAUUACGUGCCAGCAGCCGCGGUAAUACGUAAGGUCCGAGCGUUGUCCGGAAUCAUUGGGCGUAAAGGGUACGUAGGCGGGUAAGCAAGUUAGAAGUGAAAUCCUAUAGCUCAACUAUAGUAAGCUUUUAAAACUGCUCAUCUUGAGGUAUGGAAGGGAAAGUGGAAUUCCUAGUGUAGCGGUGAAAUGCGCAGAUAUUAGGAGGAAUACCGGUGGCGAAGGCGACUUUCUGGCCUUAAACUGACGCUGAGGUACGAAAGCGUGGGUAGCAAACAGG
rnacentral:rRNA from 1 species